UACGGAGGGUGCAAGCGUUAUCCGGAUUCACUGGGUUUAAAGGGUGCGUAGGCGGCGUGGUAAGUCAGUGGUGAAAUCUCCAAGCCUAACUUGGAAACUGCCGUUGAUACUAUCAUUCUUGAAUAUCGUGGAGGUAAGCGGAAUAUGUCAUGUAGCGGUGAAAUGCUUAGAUAUGACAUAGAACACCGAUUGCGAAGGCAGCUUGCUACACGAUCAUUGACACUGAGGCACGAGAGCGUGGGGAUCAAACAGG
rnacentral:rRNA from 1 species